rnacentral:rRNA from 1 species
GACAGAGGGUGCAAACGUUGCUCGGAAUCACUGGGCGUAAAGGGCGUGUAGGCGGGAAGGCAAGUCAGAUGUGAAAUCCCUGGGCUCAACCCAGGAAUUGCAUUUGAAACUCCCUUUCUUGAGUACCGGAGAGGAAAGUGGAAUUCCUGGUGUAGAGGUGAAAUUCGUAGAUAUCAGGAGGAACACCAGUGGCGAAGGCGGCUUUCUGGACGGUAACUGACGCUGAGACGCGAAAGCGUGGGGAGCAAACAGG